rnacentral:rRNA from 1 species
GAUGAACGCUAGCGGCAGGCCUAAUACAUGCAAGCCGAACGGCAAGUUUGAUAGCAAUAUUGGACCUAGAGUGGCGCAAGGGUGCGUAACACGUAUGCAACCUGCCCGCGACAGGAGGACAGCUCCCCGAAAGGGGAAUUAACCCUCCAUAACACCAUGAGAAGGCAUCUGAUUAUGGUUAAACCGCAAGGGGUCGCGGAUGGGCAUGCGGUUGAUUAGCUAGUUGGCGGGGUAAAGGCCCACCAAGGCGGUGAUCAAUAGGGGUUCUGAGAGGAAGGUCCCCCACACUGGCACUGAGAUACGGGCCAGACUCCUACGGGAGGCAGCAGUAGGGAAUAGUGGACAAUGGUUGCAAGACUGAUCCAGCCAUGCCGCGUGCAGGAAGAAGGCCUUCUGGGUCGUAAACUGCUUUUUCCUGUGGAUAAAAUACCCGUGCGCGGGGAAUUGAAGGUAACAGGGGAAUAAGCCACGGCUAACUACGUG